rnacentral:tRNA from 1 species
UUAGCGCAAUGGAUAUCGUGUUGGACUUCUAAUUCAAAGGUCGUGGGCUCGAAUCCCACCUAAA